rnacentral:ncRNA from 1 species
GUCAGAUAAAGGCAAACUUAUUGAAAGAUAAGGACGCAAAGCCACAGGUCUAAGGAAAUCUAUGACGGCUGGGUUACCGAU